UAGUGAGUUUGAUCCUGGCUCAGAUUGAACGCUGGCGGCAUGCUUUACACAUGCAAGUCGAACGGUAACAGGCCGCAAGGUGCUGACGAGUGGCGAACGGGUGAGUAAUGCAUCGGAACGUGCCCAGUCGUGGGGGAUAACGCAGCGAAAGCUGUGCUAAUACCGCAUACGAUCUAUGGAUGAAAGCGGGGGACCGUAAGGCCUCGCGCGAUUGGAGCGGCCGAUGUCAGAUUAGGUAGUUGGUGGGGUAAACGGCCACCAAGCCAACGAUCUGUAGCUGGUCUGAGAGGAUGAUCAGCCACGACUGGGACUGAGACACGGCCCAGACUCCGUAC
rnacentral:rRNA from 1 species